GAUGAACGCUGGCGGCGUGCCUAAUACAUGCAAGUCGAGCGAACAGAUGAGGAGCUUGCUCCUCUGACGUUAGCGGCGGACGGGUGAGUAACACGUGGAUAACCUACCUAUAAGACUGGGAUAACUUCGGGAAACCGGAACUAAUACCGGAUAAUAUAUUGAACCGCAUGGUUCAAUAGUGAAAGACGGUUUUGCUGUCACUUAUAGAUGGAUCCGCGCCGCAUUAGCUAGUUGGUAAGGUAACGGCUUACCAAGGCAACGAUGCGUAGCCGACCUGAGAGGGUGAUCGGCCACACUGGAACUGAGACACGGUCCAGACUCCUACGGGAGGCAGCAGUAGGGAAUCUUCCGCAAUGGGCGAAAGCCUGACGGAGCAACGCCGCGUGAGUGAUGAAGGUCUUCGGAUCGUAAACUCUGUUAUUAGGGAAGAACAAAUGUGUAAGUAACUAUGCACGUCUUGACGGUACCUAAUCAGAAAGCCACGGCUAACUACGUG
rnacentral:rRNA from 1 species